rnacentral:rRNA from 1 species
GGGAGGCAGCAGUGAGGAAUAUUGGUCAAUGGGCGCAAGCCUGAACCAGCCAUGUCGCGUGCAGGACGACGGCCCUACGGGUUGUAAACUGCUUUUGUACGGGAAGAAAAAACGCCACGUGUGGCGUCUUGCCGGUACCGUACGAAUAAGGAUCGGCUAACUCCGUGCCAGCAGCCGCGGUAAUACGGAGGAUCCGAGCGUUAUCCGGAUUUAUUGGGUUUAAAGGGUGCGUAGGCGGGCUGUUAAGUCAGCGGUGAAAGUUUGACGCUCAACGUUAAAAUUGCCGUUGAUACUGGUGGCCUUGAGUGCGGUUGAGGUAGGCGGAAUGUGGUGUGUAGCGGUGAAAUGCUUAGAUAUGCCACAGAACACCGAUUGCGAAGGCAGCUUACUAAAGCGCAACUGACGCUGAUGCACGAAAGCGUGGGGAUCAAACAGGAUUAGAUACCCUGGUAGUCCACGCCCGUAAACGAUGAUCACUCGUUCAUAUGCCAUUACUGGGGCCCCGCACAAGCGGAGGAAACAUGUGGUUUAAUUCGAUGAUACGCGAGGAACCUUACCCGGGGUUAAAAUGGGGAACGACAGGCUCGGAAACGGGCCCUUCUUCGGACGUUCUCCAAGGUGCUGCAUGGUUGUCGUCAGCUCGUGCCGUGAGGUGUCGGGUUAAGUCCCAUAACGAGCGCAACCCACGUCGUUAGUUGCCAUCAGGUCAUGCUGGGCACUCUAACGAGACUGCCGGUGUAAACCGCGAGGAAGGUGUGGAUGACGUCAAAUCAGCACGGCCCUUACAUCCGGGGCUACACACGUGUUACAAUGGACGGUACAGAGGGCAGCUACCGGGCGACCGGAUGCGAAUCUCGAAAGCCGUUCUCAGUUCGGAUCGGAGUCUGCAACCCGACUCCGUGAAGCUGGAUUCGCUAGUAAUCGCGCAUCAGCCAUGGCGCGGUGAAUACGUUCCCGGGCCUUGUACACACCGC